AGUAACGCGUAGAAACCUGCCUGAUAGUGGGGGAUAGCCCAGAGAAAUUCGGAUUAAUACCGCAUACGCCCUACGGGGGAAAGCAGGGGACCUUCGGGCCUUGCGCUAUCAGAUGAGUCUGCGUCGGAUUAGCUUGUUGGUGAGGUAAUGGCUCACCAAGGCGACGAUCCGUAGCUGGUCUGAGAGGAUGAUCAGCCACACUGGGACUGAGACACGGCCCAG
rnacentral:rRNA from 1 species